UGUAUCUGAAGCCUGACGAGGAUGAGAACCUCCGGGGGCAAGAGGUUCGACCCGAGCGAAGCGAGAGAACGUUGCUUCAGCAACGGCCCGCAGGGCGAGCCAUCCUCUAUCACCGGCAG
rnacentral:sRNA from 4 species